rnacentral:rRNA from 1 species
AUUUACUGGGCGUAAAGCGCGCGUAGGUGGCUAAUUAAGUCAAAUGUGAAAUCCCCGAGCUUAACUUGGGAAUUGCAUUCGAUACUGGUUAGCUAGAGUAUGGGAGAGGAUGGUAGAAUUCCAGGUGUAGCGGUGAAAUGCGUAGAGAUCUGGAGGAAUACCGAUGGCGAAGGCAGCCAUCUGGCCUAAUACUGACACUGAGGUGCGAAAGCAUGGGGAGCAAACAGGAUUAGAUACCCUGGUAGUCCAUGCCGUAAACGAUGUCUACUAGCCGUUGGAGCCCUUGAGGCUUUAGUGGCGCAGCUAACGCGAUAAGUAGACCGCCUGGGGAGUACGGUCGCAAGACUAAAACUCAAAUGAAUUGACGGGGGCCCGCACAAGCGGUGGAGCAUGUGGUUUACUUCGAUGCAACGCGAAGAACCUUACCUGGCCUUGACAUACAGAGAACUUUCCAGAGAUGGAUUGGUGCCUUCGGGAACUCUGAUACAGGUGCUGCAUGGCUGUCGUCAGCUCGUGUCGUGAG